rnacentral:rRNA from 1 species
UCAAGCGACUAAGUGUAUGUGGCGGAUGCCUUGGCGAUCACAGGCGAUGAAGGACGUGACAGCCUGCGAAAAGCCGUGGGGAGUUGGCAAAUGAACUUUGAUCCACGGAUGUCCGAAUGGGGGAACCCAGUCUCUUCGGAGACUAUCCCAGUCUGAAUACAUAGGGCUGGGAGGCGAACGCGGUGAACUGAAACAUCUAAGUAACCGCAGGAAAAGAAAUCAACCGAGAUUCCGAAAGUAGCGGCGAGCGAAAUCGGAGGAGCCUAGCGUUUGAUAGCGAUCUCGAUACCGGAACGGUCUGGAAAGUCCGGCUACAGAGGGUGAUAGCCCCGUACGGGAAAUCGAAGUCGUGGUACUAAGGACGCGAAAAGUAGGGCGGGACACGUGACAUCCUGUCUGAAGAUGGGUGGACCAUCAUCCAAGGCUAAAUACUCGUGAUCGACCGAUAGCGAACCAGUACUGUGAAGGAAAGGCGAAAAGAACCCCGGGAGGGGAGUGAAAUAGAUCCUGAAACCGCAUACAUACAAACAGUAGGAGCCUCUUUAUGGGGUGACUGCGUACCUUUUGCAUAAUGGGUCAGCGACUUACGUUUAGCGGCAAGCUUAACCGAUUAGGGGAGGCGCAGCGAAAGCGAGUUCGAACAGAGCGACUGAGUCGUUAGGCGUAGACCCGAAACCAGAUGAUCUAUCCAUGGCCAGGUUGAAGGUGUGGUAACACACACUGGAGGACCGAACCGACUAGUGUUGCAAAAUUAGCGGAUGAGCUGUGGAUAGGGGUGAAAGGCUAAACAAAUCUGGAGAUAGCUGGUUCUCCCCGAAAACUAUUGAGGUAGUGCCUCGUGUAUGACUCCAGGGGGUAGAGCACUGUUAUGGCUAGGGGGACAUGGCGUCUUACCAAACCAUGGCAAACUCCGAAUACUUGGAAGUUUGAGCACGGGAGACAGAGCACCGGGUGCUAACGUCCGGACUCAAAAGGGAAACAACCCAGACCGCCGGCUAAGGUCCCUAAUAUUGACUAAGUGGAAAACGAAGUGGGAAGGCUAAGACAGUCAGGAAGUUGGCUUAGAAGCAGCCAUCCUUCAAAGAAAGCGUAAUAGCUCACUGAUCGAGUCUUCCUGCGCGGAAGAUGUAACGGGGCUAAGUCAAUAACCGAAGCCGCGGAUUCACGACUUGUCGUGAGUGGUAGGGGAGCGUUCUGUAAGCCUGCGAAGGCGGUUCGUAAGGACUGCUGGAGGUAUCAGAAGUGCGAAUGCUGACAUGAGUAACGUUAAAGCAGGUGAAAAGCCUGCUCGCCGUAAGCCCAAGGUUUCCUGCUCUACGUUCAUCGGAGCAGGGUGAGUCGGCCCCUAAGGCGAGGCUGAGAAGCGUAGCUGAUGGGAACAAGGUUAAUAUUCCUUGACCGCCGUUGAGUGCGAAGGGGGGACGGAGUGUUGAAGAUCAUCCGGGUGUUGGAUGUCCCGGUUUGUGAACGUAGGAGGCCGGCAGGCAAAUCCGCCGGCAUAUCUCCGAGGUGAAGCAUCGAGGUCCGUAUGGACCGAAGUGAUCGGAUGGGCUCCCAGGAAAAGCCUCUAAGCUCCAGCUCAACGGGACCGUACCGCAAACCGACACUGGUGGGCGAGCUGAAUAUGCUCAGGCGCUUGAGAGAACUCAGGAGAAGGAACUCGGCAAAUUGACACCGUAACUUCGGGAUAAGGUGUGCCUCGGUAGCGUGAAGGAAGAAACAUCCGGAGCGUGAAGAGGUCUCAGAGAAUCGGUGGCUGCGACUGUUUACUAAAAACACAGCACUCUGCAAAGACGAAAGUCGACGUAUAGGGUGUGAUGCCUGCCCGGUGCUGGAAGAUUAAUUGAUGGGGUGCAAGCUCCUGAUCGAAGUCCCAGUAAACGGCGGCCGUAACUAUAACGGUCCUAAGGUAGCGAAAUUCCUUGUCGGGU